CAGCAGCCGCGGGAAUACGUAGGGUGCAAGCGUUAAUCGGAAUUACUGGGUGUAAAGGGAGCGUAGACGGUUAAACAAGUCUGAAGUGAAAUGCCGGGGCUCAACCCCGGAGCUGCUUUGGGAACUGUAGAACUGGAGUGUCGGAGGGGUAAGCGGAAUUCCCAGUGUAGCGGUGAAAUGCGUAGAUAUUGGGAGGAACACCGGCGGCGAAGGCGGCUUACUGGACGACAACUGACGUUGAGGCUCGAAGGCGUGGGUAGCAAACAGGAUUAGAUACCCCCGUAGUCCCUGUCUCUUAUAC
rnacentral:rRNA from 1 species